AUUUCCCCGGGCGUGAGAGCGCGGACUGGAAGCUGGGUGUUCAAAGGGUGUGAGAAGGGACCAAGACCCGCAUCUUCUGGGCAAAGUUUUCGGGGAGAUGGAAGGAGAGAGGGUCGGGACUGAGUUGCUGGUCUUGGGGACAGAGCAGCCGGAGCUGCGCACCAAGGCUUAGAGUCGGGCGGGAGAUGCGGNNAGAGGGAGGGGGCGGGGAGGGAGGGGAGGGAGAGAGGAGGAAGGGGUGAGAGGGAGAAACCUGCCGCGGCUCUCCGCCUCUUUGUCUGCUCUGGGACUUGGAACAAAAGGGGAAACUCUGAUGAACUCCUUCUCCAGCUCCCUGGACGCCCGAGUAUCUCUUUCUCGCAACUUUGUCAACGCGACUUUCUCCGCUGUCAGGCUGCGCAAAAGUAUCCUAGCGCCUCGCAGGCUGCAACAAUGGAAACAAUGUCCCUUCAAAGUGCGACGAAGUGGAGGGAGAAGGUGUCAUACCAGCGACUCCAAGAGUCAUGUCACCCACUUAGCAGGAGUACUUCUACUGAAAUGCCUUCGAAUUUCUCUUACUGGAUAUAUACCUACCAGCCGCUAGCAUGAAGAUGCCAGGACCGCUGCAAGUUAGCACUGGACAAAGUAGCAUCAACUUCUUCAUUUAGAGUUUCUUCAGUUAAAUUGCUGGGAUUUUCGACAAGGCUUUCCUUAUGUGGAUUAUUGGAGUGUGAUGCCCGAGAAUUCUCUACUUGUAGAAGCACGCCCACGGGACUGCAGAAGCCUUCACACCCACCCAGCACGCUCAGGGUUGAUGGCCUAACACUGGCUUAACACUCAUGUCGGCUGCACUAAUUGAAGUCACAUCCAAGUGGGUCAAUGCACUGAACAUAUCUGAUAUAGAAGGUCCCAGAUCCUGAAUUUUUAUCAAUGGUUUGCUGUAUAAGGCUUGCCUCCCAAAUAGCUGAGGACCCUUAUUUGGGAAGAUACGUUCUGAUGGUUAAGCAACAGCACAGAUGUCGAUGGGAAUGAGUGAUGGCCAUCCAGUGACCAGCUGGAUCUGACUGCCUUACAAGACGCAUGUGUAUGAUUAAGAGAGAGACAUUCGUGACUCCCAGAUGUACCUCCUUCCUGUCCCACAGUGUUCCUGAAGGGAGUGAGUUAUGGGGUAACUUAUAACACAGCAGGCUCUUCCUCAAGAUAGCUCUUGUCAAAACAGGAAGACGAAACUCGGGUUUCCAUGAGGAGACCACAGCUUGGGAUCCUGUCUGGAUGUACAAGCAGAAGCAUCUUCAUACUUUUCCAUUUCUAACCAUCAUGCCUCACCCCACCCUCCCAAGGCGACAUCUGCAGAGAGGUGGAACCAUCUAGGGAGGCCUGCCACUGUUUGCUGAGCUCCGGGUGAGGAUGAAGACACUUUGACAUGGCCAGCUUCAGACUCGGGAUCUGUCGGUGUUAGCAGCCGAAGGAGAAUGAGGAGGAAGAGGAGGAGAAAGAGGAGGAGGAAGUAAGACAGAGGGGGACAAGAGGACCAAGAGGGCACAUGGCUGAGGAGGAGGAGAACAACAACAACAACAACAACAACAACAACAACAAGAAGCUUGGUGGUGAAACUUGGAAGCCCUCUCCAGGAUGCAGCAGGUAGCUGAGGAGAAAACGAAGACUGACCAGCCCAGAGCUCAGAGCUUCCUCCCAUGCUCAGGAUUUACCACCAAUGCCAUUACAUCGGCCUCUUCUUGUAUGCCUCUGGAAACCACAUGUGUCCUCUGUUUGUAAUGGUUUGGCUAUGGUUGCUGGCCCCUCUUGGACAUUGUUUUCAGAACUUAAAGAAACAUUGCUUUAAAGAUUUAUUAGAACAUAUUUAAAAUAAAACCAUCUUCUCAUUUAGUAU
ensembl:processed_transcript